AUUGAACGCUGGCGGCAGGCCUAACACAUGCAAGUCGAGCGGAGCGGCGGACGGGUGAGUAAUGCCUAGGAAUCUGCCUGGUAGUGGGGGUUAACGUCCGGAAACGGGCGCUAAUACCGCAUACUCUCAGCUGAGCCUAGGUCGGAUUCGCUAGUUGGUGAGGUAAAGGCCUACCAAGGCGAAGAUCCCUAACUGGUCUGAGUGGAUGAUCAGUCAGACUGGAACUGAAACACGGUCCAGAUUCCUAGGGGAGGCAGCAGUGGGGAAUAUUGGACAAUGGGCGAAAGCCUAAUCCAGACAUGCCGCGUGUGUGAAGAAGGUCUUCGGAUUGUAAAGCACGUUAAGUUGGGAGGCGUUACCAACAGAAUAAGCACCGGCUAACUUCGUGCCAGCCGCCGCGGUAAUAC
rnacentral:rRNA from 1 species